GAGAUCAGACGGCAAAACGGACAUCACUUUUGAACUCAGGACAGUCGAAAACCUUAGGAUGAGCAUAAAAGGAAAAAUGGCACUAUUCAUAUGUACGGUACUAUUCACGUGUACGGUACUAACUACGUUACUGUUCACAACACUGUUCACAUAGACGGAUCGAUGACGUGGCAUUGACCGAUGAUGUGGCAUUGACUGAUGAGGUGUCACGAUCCUGUUGGACUAAAAUUCUUAUGUACUGUUGA
rnacentral:lncRNA from 1 species